GGUAUAGCCGCCUCCCACGGGUGUUGCACAUGCGCAGAACUUCCCGACCCUGUAGCCGGCACAUCAGACCUGAUGAACUGCGGCGUGGCGGCAGUGUUCACACAGUGCAGAGGUUACGCAGGUUAAUGCGAGACGCCUCUGUGAGGCUGGUGGUCAUCCAGGGAUCAGUACCCCCUGGAAGUCGGGCUCUCAGAAGGCUGCGUGGAUCCAGUUAGGGAAGGUUCUAGGCCUGGAACGCCCACCACAGGAGUGGUUCCAGUGGCAGUGGCAAACUUCAGACCAGUUUAUGGGUCAGCAUUCCUGGAGGAUGUGGCGCUGACCUCAGCAGUUUUCAAAGGCAACAAUGGCAGGAACCUCCUUCAGAAGUUUCUUCCAGCUUCUCUUCACAGUAAUGAGUGAAAUCCAGGAGGAUACAAAGAGAAGGCAGGAACAAGAUUUUGAGUAGAUACAGAUUCCUAUAACUGGAGCAGAGAUGGAGCCAUAGCCAGAACACUGCAUCAUACAAAUGAGGUAUAGGCAGACGGACUGUUUUCCAAGAUGGCUGAACCAUUUUACACUGCCACUAGGAGUAUAUGAGAAUUCUAGUUCUUCCAUAUUCUUGCCAACACUUGUUAUUAAUUGCUCUAUUGAUAAACAUCCUAUACUUGCUGUCUCUCAGACACUGUGUCAGACUUUGGAGAUACAAGGAUGGACCACGUGUCUCUUUACACAAUGAGCUCAGGAUCUAAGAAGAGAAAUACCCGGAGAAACAAGUAUAGUACAGUAUAAUUUUAAAAAACUAUCUAUUUAUUAUGAUACAUUUAUAGUAUCAGGCACUGCACCAGAUGCUUUUCCUUUGUUUCAUUUGGAUCCUAACAACCUCGUUGGUGGCUGACUCUAGAUCUUUCUCAGGCCAACACCAUGUUGUGUACCACUGUAUUCCACUGCUCCCUCACGUAAGUGCAAGACGAAGUUUUAUGCCCAGGUCCUUUGAGAACAUCAGGGAGGCCUCUAAACUAGACUGGGGUGCCAGAGGAAGGCCCUCUGGGGGUGUUGUAUGGGCUAGAAUGCUAGAGGACAAGCUCACAGACCUUGGCAAGGAAAAGCCAAGUGGAGAUGCGGUUGGAGGGAUGGAGAAAUUACCCUGUCUUUGUUUUCUUCAGUAUUCUAAGCAUAGUUACAGUGUAGACCAUUUUACAGUACAUUACCUGGAAUAUAACAACAUAAUUUCAUUUACAAUCAUGCUUAGCGUUCCCAAUACCAGAAAAUUUCAAAUAAAACCUUAUGUUUAAUCAUUGUCCCCAUUUUUGUGUAAAAGAUUUCGAAAGCUGGCUGCCUCAGGCGGUGUACUUGAAAGACUGUUACUCAGCUGAUGACUGCUGCUUCUGAUUCCUUCUACUAUGUAUAUUUACCCAGAAAUGUCACAUGGGAUUUUACAUUUAUAUAAUGCUUUUUAGGGCAAUGAAAACCCAAUAAAAUCGGCUGGCUUAUUUAAUGUUCAAAGUGUU